AGUGAACGCUGGCGGUAGGCCUAACACAUGCAAGUCGAACGGCAGCACAGGAGAGCUUGCUCUCUGGGUGGCGAGUGGCGGACGGGUGAGGAAUACAUCGGAAUCUACCCUGUCGUGGGGGAUAACGUAGGGAAACUUACGCUAAUACCGCAUACGACCUACGGGUGAAAGCAGGGGAUCUUCGGACCUUGCGCGAUUGAAUGAGCCGAUGUCGGAUUAGCUAGUUGGCGGGGGAAAGGCCCACCAAGGCGACGAUCCGUGGCUGGUCUGAGAGGAUGAUCAGCCACACUGGAACUGAGACACGGUCCAGACUCCUACGGGAGGCAGCAGUGGGGAAUAUUGGACGAUGGGCGCAAGCCUGAUCCAGCCAUACCGCGUGGGUGAAGAAGGCCUUCGGGUUGUAAAGCCCUUUUGUUGGGAAAGAAAUCCAGCUGGCUAAUACCCGGUUGGGAUGACGGUACCCAAAGAAUAAGCACCGGCUAACUUCGUGCCAGCCGCCGCCGUAA
rnacentral:rRNA from 1 species